UUACGGCCACAUCACGUUGAAACACCAGUUCCCGUACGAUCGCCGAAGUUAAGUAACGUUCAACUUGGUCAGUACUUAGAUGGGUGACCGCUUGGGAAUACCACGUUCUGUAAG